UACGUAGGGUGCGAGCGUUACUCGGAAUUACUGGGCGUAAAGCGUGCGCAGGCGGUUAUGUAAGACAGGUGUGAAAUCCCCGGGCUUAACCUGGGAAUGGCAUUUGGGACUGCAAGGCUGGAGUGUGGCAGAGGAGACUGGAAUUCCUGGUGUAGCAGUGAAAUGCGUAGAUAUUGGGAGGAACACCAGUGGCGAAGGCGGCUCACUGGACUGGUACUGACGCUGAGGCGCGAAAGCGUGGGGAGCAAACGGG
rnacentral:rRNA from 1 species